AGGGCGUUUCAGUAGCACGCUCAAGACCCGAAGCGGAGUGAUCUAGCCAUGGGCAGGUUGAAGCGGAGGUAAGACUUCGUGGAGGACCGAACCCACCAGGGUUGAAAACCUGGGGGAUGACCUGUGGUUAGGGGUGAAAGGCCAAUCAAACUCCGUGAUAGCUGGUUCUCCCCGAAAUGCAUUUAGGUGCAGCGUCGUGUGUUUCUUGCCGGAGGUAGAGCACUGGAUAGGCGAUGGGCCCUACCGGGUUACUGACCUUAGCCAAACUCCGAAUGCCGGUAAGUGAGAGCGCGGCAGUGAGACUGUGGGGGAUAAGCUCCAUGGUCGAGAGGGAAACAGCCCAGAGCAUCGACUAAGGCCCCUAAGCGUACGCUAAGUGGGAAAGGAUGUGGAGUCGCACAGACAACCAGGAGGUUGGCUUAGAAGCAGCCACCCUUGAAAGAGUGCGUAAUAGCUCACUGGUCUAGUGAUUCCGCGCCGACAAUGUAGCGGGGCUCAAGCGUACCGCCGAAGUCGUGUCAUUGCAGCAAUAAGCCCCAACGGGUGCUGUGAUGGGUAGGGGAGCGUCGUCUGCCGGGUGAAGCGGCACCGGAAGGUAGUCGUGGACGGUUGACGAGUGAGAAUGCAGGCAUGAGUAGCGAUACAAACGUGAGAAACGUUUGCGCCGAUUGACUAAGGGUUCCUGGGUCAAGCUGAUCUGCCCAGGGUAAGUCGGGACCUAAGGCGAGGCCGACAGGCGUAGUCGAUGGAUAACCGGUUGAUAUUCCGGUACCCGCUGUGAAGCGUCAAACAUCGAGCAUCGUGAUGCUAAGGCCGUGAAGCCGCCCUGAUCUCUUCGGAGUUGAGGGGAGUGGUGGAGCCGCCGAACCAAGCGGUUAGUAGGUGAGUGAUGGGGUGACGCAGGAAGGUAGUCCAUCCCGGGCGGUGGUUGUCCCGGGGUAAGGGUGUAGGCCGCAAGGUAGGCAAAUCCGCCUUGCAUACGGCUGAGACCUGAUGCCGAGCCGAUUGUGGCGAAGUGGAUGAUCCUAUGCUGUCGAGAAAAGCCUCUAGCGAGUUUCAUGGCGGCCCGUACCCUAAACCGACUCAGGUGGUCAGGUAGAGAAUACCGAGGCGUUCGGGUGAACUAUGGUUAAGGAACUCGGCAAAAUGCCCCCGUAACUUCGGGAGAAGGGGGGCCACAUCCGGUGAUGAGCUUCGCGCUCUGAGCUGGGGGUGGCCGCAGAGACCAGCGAGAAGCGACUGUUUACUAAAAACACAGGUCCGUGCGAAGCCGUAAGGCGAUGUAUACGGACUGACGCCUGCCCGGUGCUGGAACGUUAAGGGGACCGGUUAGCUUGGAUUCGUCCAGGCGAAGCUGAGAACUUAAGCGCCAGUAAACGGCGGUGGUAACUAUAACCAUCCUAAGGUAGCGAAAUUCCUUGUCGGGUAAGUUCCGACCUGCACGAAUGGCGUAACGACUUCUCGACUGUCUCAACCAUAGGCCCGGUGAAAUUGCACUACGAGUAAAGAUGCUCGUUUCGCGCAGCAGGACGGAAAGACCCCGGGACCUUUACUACAGUUUGAUAUUGGUGUUCGGUUCGGCUUGUGUAGGAUAGCUGGGAGACUUUGAAGCAGGCACGCCAGUGUUUGUGGAGUCGUCGUUGAAAUACCAGUCUGGUCGUGCUGGAUGUCUAACCUGGGUCCGUGAUCCGGAUCAGGGACAGUGUCUGAUGGGUAGUUUAACUGGGGCGGUUGCCUCCUAAAGGGUAACGGAGGCGCCCAAAGGUUCCCUCAGCCUGGUUGGCAAUCAGGUGUUGAGUGUAAGUGCACAAGGGAGCUUGACUGUGAGACCGACGGGUCGAGCAGGGACGAAAGUCGGGACUAGUGAUCCGGCGGUGGCUUGUGGAAGCGCCGUCGCUCAACGGAUAAAAGGUACCCCGGGGAUAACAGGCUGAUCUUCCCCAAGAGUCCAUAUCGACGGGAUGGUUUGGCACCUCGAUGUCGGCUCGUCGCAUCCUGGGGCUGGAGUCGGUCCCAAGGGUUGGGCUGUUCGCCCAUUAAAGCGGUACGCGAGCUGGGUUUAGAACGUCGUGAGACAGUUCGGUCCCUAUCCGCUGUGCGCGUAGGAGUCUUGAGAAGGGCUGUCCCUAGUACGAGAGGACCGGGACGGACGAACCUCUGGUGUGCCAGUUGUUCUGCCAAGGGCAUGGCUGGUUGGCUACGUUCGGGAGGGAUAACCGCUGAAAGCAUCUAAGCGGGAAGCCUGCUUCGAGAUGAGGACUCCCACCCACUUGAUGGGGUAAGGCUCCCAGUAGACGACUGGGUUGAUAGGCCGGAUCUGGAAGCACGGUAACGUGUGGAGGUGACCGGUACUAAUAGGCCGAGGGCUUGUCCUC
rnacentral:rRNA from 1 species